UACGAAGGGGGCUAGCGUUGCUCGGAAUCACUGGGCGUAAAGCGCACGUAGGCGGACUCUUAAGUCGGUGGUGAAAUCCUGGAGCUCAACUCCAGAACUGCCCUUGAUACUGGCGGUCUCGAGUCCGGGAGAGGUGAGUGGAACUGCGAGUGUAGAGGUGAAAUUCGUAGAUAUUCGCAAGAACACCAGUGGCGAAGGCGGCUCACUGGCCCGGUACUGACGCUGAGGUGCGAAAGCGUGGGGAGCAAACAGG
rnacentral:rRNA from 1 species